rnacentral:lncRNA from 1 species
GCUGACACAGCUGAGCAUCUCAGAUCACAAAGCGUAUUGAGGGAUCCAAGGUUCUUAUCUCCGAGAGCAUUGUUCUCUUCUGUUUGCUUCUCUCUCCUCAGCCGAAGGCUAUUCUCCACAGCACAGCCAGAGUCGUCAGAGUCUCAUGAUCUCCUAUGCCAAGAUAAUCUGGGAAACAGAAGAACUGAGAGAUCCUUGCCUUUGACCUUCUCCAGUGCAGAAGCUCACACUGUGCUGCCUAGAACGGAGGAAUGUACGAGUGCACACAGAGGGGAGGAAGCAAUAUUUCUACAAGGAGACAGCUGAAGGGAGAGUGUUAUAGUAUGGCUCUGACAAGAGACAUUGAGUGCAAGAAAACAAACCGAAAGUGACCACCUACCUUAACGUCAUCCUGUCCAGCAGCAGCGGGACCCUGCGUUCGGUAGGACACAUUUUCAAAUCC